rnacentral:rRNA from 1 species
UGGGGAAUUUUGGACAAUGGGCGAAAGCCUGAUCCAGCAAUGCCGCGUGUGUGAAGAAGGCCUUCGGGUUGUAAAGCACUUUUGUCCGGAAAGAAAUCCUUGGCUCUAAUACAGUCGGGGGAUGACGGUACCGGAAGAAUAAGCACCGGCUAACUACGUGCCAGCAGCCGCGGUAAUACGUAGGGUGCAAGCGUUAAUCGGAAUUACUGGGCGUAAAGCGUGCGCAGGCGGUUUGCUAAGACCGAUGUGAAAUCCCCGGGCUCAACCUGGGAACUGCAUUGGUGACUGGCAGGCUAGAGUAUGGCAGAGGGGGGUAGAAUUCCACGUGUAGCAGUGAAAUGCGUAGAGAUGUGGAGGAAUACCGAUGGCGAAGGCAGCCCCCGGGCCAAAUACUGACGCUCAUGCACGAAAAGCGUGGGGAGCAAAACAGGAUUAGAUACCCUGGUAGUCCACGCCCUAAAACGAUGUCAACUAGUUGUUGGGGAUUCAUUUCCUUAGUAAACGUAGCUAACGCGUGAAGUUGACCGCCUGGGGAGUACGGUCGCAAGAUUAAAAACUCAAAGGAAUUGACGGGGUCAUAGCUGUUUCCU